AGUGAACGCUGGCGGUAGGCCUAGCACAUGCAAGUCGAACGGCAGCACAGUAAGAGCUUGCUCUUACGGGUGGCGAGUGGCGGACGGGUGAGGAAUACAUCGGAAUCUACUUUUUCGUGGGGGAUAACGUAGGGAAACUUACGCUAAUACCGCAUACGACCUACGGGUGAAAGCAGGGGAUCUUCGGACCUUGCGCGAUUGAAUGAGCCGAUGUCGGAUUAGCUAGUUGGCGGGGUAAAGGCCCACCAAGGCGACGAUCCGUAGCUGGUCUGAGAGGAUGAUCAGCCACAAUGGAACUGAGACACGGUCCAGACUCCUACGGGAGGCAGCAGUGGGGAAUAUUGGACAAUGGGCGCAAGCCUGAUCCAGCCAUACCGCGUGGGUGAAGAAGGCCUUCGGGUUGUAAAGCCCUUUUGUUGGGAAAGAAAAGCAGCAGGUUAAUACCCCGCUGUUCUGACGGUACCCAAAGAAUAAGCACCGGCUAACUUCGUG
rnacentral:rRNA from 1 species